rnacentral:rRNA from 1 species
GACGAACGCUGGCGACGUGCUUAACACAUGCAAGUCGAGCGGUAAGGCUCCUUCGGGAGUACACGAGCGGCGAACGGGUGAGUAACACGUGGGUGACCUGCCCUCAGCUCUGGGAUAAGCCUGGGAAACUGGGUCUAAUACUGGAUAUGACUCCACGGUGCAUGUCGUGGGGUGGAAAGCCUUGUGCGGCUGAGGAUGGGCCCGCGGCCUAUCAGCUUGUUGGUGGGGGAUGGCCUACCAAGGCGACGACGGGUAGCCGGCCUGAGAGGGCGACCGGGCCACACUGGGACUGAGACACGGCCCAGACUCCUACGGGAGGCAGCAGUGGGGAAUCUUGCGCAAUGGGCGAAAGCCUGACGCAGCGACGCCGCGUGAGGGAUGACGGCCUGG